UCCUCAGUAGUAUAGUGGUAAGUAAUCCCGCCUGUCACGCGGGAGACCGGGGUUCGAUUCCCUGCCGAGGGG
rnacentral:tRNA from 1 species